GGCGGCGGUGGUCCGGAGCGCCGCUGCCUCCAGAGCCGCGAGGUGCCGGGGUCCGAGUCCCCAUCCCGCGG
rnacentral:tRNA from 1 species